GUUGCCAAGGCAGACAAAGCACAAGUCUGGUCAUCAUAUUGUUUGUUUUACUGGUUUAGUUUGUUUGAGUAUCUUGAUUCUGUCGACACCAUUUUUAGGGGAAAGACUGUUCAGCUGGAGUACACUGAUGCGAAAGAGAGCCUCCUGCAAGCUGCUCGUAAAGCUCCUGUUGGAGCCCUUGGCUUCGAAGUUCAACGCAACAAAUGUGCCAUCAUAGUUCGAUUGUUAUUGAGGGAAAUACCAGAGAAAACUGUCUUCAAGCAAAAAGGCAUGGAAACAGUUUUGAGGCCAUAAAUUGAGCUUGCAAAAGUGAGUCUGACUCUUCAAACUUGCAAGGCUGUUCGUAUAAGUGAUUUGGAGUUGUUUAGGAAUGUCGUGGAUAAGUUUGCAAGUACUUUCAGCUCAGACAGGACUCCUAAUCUGAUUGUGAGGUUGCGAUUUAAUGUCAUGAGGACAGGGCUUGACAAUAUUAGCAUCUCUUUCUUAUUCUCACAUUUCACUGUUGAUGUUGCUCACAAACUGAGGUUGGACUCACGGAACCCUGUGGCGGUUGUUACCGAGACAGUACCAUAUCUGUAAAAACUGGUAUCCCAAAGUGAUCUGUUAUCAGAAUUUUAGUCUCCAAAUGUCUGUU